rnacentral:rRNA from 1 species
ACAGAGGGUGCGAGCGUUAAUCGGAAUUACUGGGCGUAAAGCGCGCGUAGGCGGCUAUACAAGUCGAGUGUGAAAUCCCCGGGCUCAACCUGGGAACUGCAUUCGAGACUGUAUGGCUUGAGUAUGGGAGAGGGAGGCGGAAUUUCAGGUGUAGCGGUGAAAUGCGUAGAUAUCUGAAGGAACAUCAGUGGCGAAAGCGGCCUCCUGGACCAAUACUGACGCUCAUGUGCGAAAGCGUGGGGAGCAAACAGGAUUAGAUACCCUGGUAGUCCACGCCAUAAACGAUGAGAACUAGAUGUCGGGAGGGUUAGCCUCUCGGUGUCGCAGCUAACGCGUUAAGUUCUCCGCCUGGGGAGUACGGCCGCAAGGUUG